CGACAAGGUUUAGCUUGAUAUUGCUGGCCCUUGCAUUCCGCACUACACAGCACACGACAUAACUCACAAUUUCAUCCUUACACACUUACACCCACACUCAGGCUGCGAAGCCUGAACAGCAAAAUACGUCUAGUGCUUACGCGUUAGUGCAGGCCUACGGGGCGAAAUGUACCUAAUGUGACUGGCAGGGGUUGGCGUGUUCGGAGGGGCUUCCUCACGCCGUCGGUGGUGGCGGUUGUAGGUAAGGUCCCGAGGAUCCCUGUCAGGCCAUCAAGCAGGCGGGUUUCGCACAGCUUUCGCUGACUGCUGCUCAAGAGGGCUCCUCACAUGUCAGGAAUUGUCUGCCGGUGUCUUGCGCCUCCUCUAUGCAUCAACCUCGCGCUGUGCCAUCUGCAAGGACAGAUGGCAGACAUAGAUUAACCUUCGCUUUGGUGUGGUGGAACCACUUCGAUGUUCACAUCCACGUUUGGCAAUAUAUUUCAUCGGCAAAACGGUCGGUCCGAUCCGAAGCAGGGGCGCGAUCACUGUGGUUUGAUUUGCAACCCGGGAACUUCCAGGUAAGCAGCCGUAACAUGGCUUUUUGCAAUCGCAAAAUAUGAAAGAUUCCGAAAUAGGUAUCCCAAACAUCUGAAGUUACAGGCAUCCCGAAGUUACUGUACGGAAAAGGAGGGUUACCUUUUUUCGUUAUCCACCUGAAGUACACGUGCUGCCCGUAAAAUCAGGUUGCAAGUUAGUGAAUCGUCACUUCAAUGAUAGUAUUAUUGUAGUAGAAAUAUUUGUUACAUUUGCAGCCAUUACAGAUGAUCUAUGCGGGCUGAGCAUCGGCCGGUGUACACGGGGCCGGACGUUCUCUCGGGCAACCGAGGAUUUUUGCGUAUCUGACUGGAGGUUUACUGCUGAUCUGAGCCUUGGAAACGACUAUUGAUUCGUGAGUGCUUAUCAGGUAAUGAGGGCUUUCCACGCCUUCCUAGGGUUUACCAGGGUUUGCGGGGAAUUCAAGGAUAUGUGGAGCCUGUAAACAUUAUGAUAUAAAAAUUGUAAAUUUUUGUUGAUAUUUUAGUACUUGCCUAUUGUGGUCAGUUGGAACGCUGCCCUGCCUUCUUUCAUGCAGGCAGCCAGCUAUCUCCCAAUCCUAAUGCUUGCGCAUCAGGUCGGCAGUCUAGAUGCUUGGCUUGAAAGCCCAUAUCCUGGUUGCGGCAUCGGUAUUCCUGCCCUGCAAGUAUGCCAGGGACAGACCCGCUCUCGUUCUAUGCUGGGAGGACCGUCGCGGUCGCUCCCAACACCAGAUUGUGCAACAGCAAGCAUGAAUGCUGUGAGAACAAUUACCUGUAAAAGUACCAGUCAGGAUGCAGCUGGUCAGACGGCUUCGACAACUCCGGCCCCUGAU
rnacentral:lncRNA from 1 species